CAGCCGCCGCGGGAAUACGUAGGGUGCAAGCGUUAAUCGGAAUUACUGGGCGUAAAGCGUGCGCAGGCGGUUAUAUAAGACAGAUGUGAAAUCCCCGGGCUCAACCUGGGAACUGCAUUUGUGACUGUAUAGCUAGAGUACGGCAGAGGGGGAUGGAAUUCCGCGUGUAGCAGUGAAAUGCGUAGAUAUGCGGAGGAACACCGAUGGCGAAGGCAAUCCCCUGGGCCUGUACUGACGCUCAUGCACGAAAGCGUGGGGAGCAAACAGGAUUAGAUACCCCUGUAGUCCCUGUCUCUUUACA
rnacentral:rRNA from 1 species